rnacentral:lncRNA from 1 species
UGUGGGUCCUGCUUCCCUGGGCCUACACAGCAGAGCAGCCUCCAAUGCUCUGCUGACCCCUGGGACUCAGGCUCUCUGUGCGCUGGGAUACGGUUAUUUUCCUGGUGCUUGUUCUCUGCAGGGCCGGCCCUGACCCCCAUCUCUCGCAAGAAUGUGCCAUAGCUCUUCUGGGAGCAUUGGCAACAACAAAGGCUCAUGAUGCCAACUGUGUAUGGAUGCCCAUUUCCAGAUACUUGUUCAGCAACCCUCAAACCAGAUGCACGUCUGUCUUUGGGUCAGUAAUCUGUACCCUGAAUCGGCAAUCAGAGCGUCACGACAGAACUGUGUAUCAACACCACUAGUCUAUUUUUCCUGUUCAUCAAA